AGCCUCGCCUGCCUUGGGCGAUGCCUAGAGUCAUGUCUGAGGCAUAGACCUGCUCCCUGGUUCCCUCCCUCGCUUGCCUCGACCACGCGUUCCAGCUGAUCUCUGCCUGGGUGGGAACCCAGGCGUCUCGCUCGAGGACAAUCGGGGGGCGAGCAAGCGAGUGCGACCUCCGUGUCUUGGCCAAUGCACCAGCCGCGGCCACCGGGAAGAACUCUUGUCAUCUUACUCUUCACCGCGGGGAGUUCCAACAUACAGUGUAAACAAGCUGCUCACCCUCCAUCCCUUCCAACUCCCUGCAAGUCCACCUCCUCCCCACGGCUGCUCCAGAGAGAGGCUUGCUUACGUGGAAGAGGCACCGAUCCAAGUGCGCCGCCAGCAUGGUGCGUGCGCCCCAGUCAGUCAAUCAGUUGGGGUUUCCUGGGAGGCAAGCAACGCUGCCGGGCCCGUGGAAACUACUUAGGCGACCGGCCCGCCUCUAAAAGCAAAUGGCGAGGCGAGGCACUAGAGCUGGUUGGAAGUGAGUGUGUGUGUAAGUGUGUGUAAUGGCCGGUUUCAUCCAAAGCAGUUUUUGUUUCAGUAGCUUUAGAAGGAGAGAGGGAAGGAGGAAGGGAAGGGGAAAAGCAAGAAAGAAAAGCAAGAAAAGGGAAAGCAAGAAAAAGGGAGAGAGAAAGAGAAAGCAAGAAAAGGGAUAGACAAAGAAAGAGGAGGUAUGGAAGAGAAAGAGAGAGGGGGGAGAGGGAGGGAGUAGAAAGUGAAUGAGAUAUAGUUGGAUGGAUGUGUCAGCCUCUAUGAUGCUUGCUUGCUAUCGGCUGCCAUAGUAAGGGGUGGGAGGUUGGCAUUUGGGUGUGUGUGUGAGCUGGAGAGAGAUUGCCCUGUGUGAACAAGUAGGGAGAAUUGCUCCUCUAUUCUACUGCGCAGCUGUAUGGACCUGUUUAUGCCCAGUCAAGAUCAACUGUCUGAGAAUACCAGAUGGACAAAAACACCUGAAGGUGCUGCCCAGAUGACACCAAUUGGGAUGGGGAUUGGACAUUUACCCUGGGUCUUUAGGGGGAGGGAUUAGGGGAUGCUUUCUUUAAAAAAAAAAAAACGGAAACAAACACAAAAGAUAAAAUUCCAUUUUACAACAGUUUCAUAUUGGUAUUCCUCUACAAUUCACGUUUUUCCCCCUCCCCGUCUUUACAUAUAUUUAUAUUUGUGGUUCCCUUGUUCCUUACUUAUUUAUGUAUAAAUAUAUAUACCAUUUAUUCCAUUUUAAAUAUUCCAUUUCAACUUUUUCUUUUAUCUCUUUUGUCAAUUUGUCCAUCUUCGCAGAAUCCAAAAUUUUCUUUACCACCUCCUCCUCUUUUGGUAUAGUGUUGCUAGUCCAAUUCUGUGCAUAUGUUAUCCUGGCUGCUGUUAUAAUAUGUAAAAUUAGAUAUUGUAUUUCUUUGCUAUAGUUUCUGGAGUGUAUUCCCAAUAAAAAUAGUUUCGCUUUCCAGUCUAUAUGGGGUUCAGUUAUCUCUUCAAGCCACUUUUUAAUUUUAGUCCAAUAUAGUUUUGCAGAUGCUCAUGUCCACCAUAAGUGAUAAUAUGUUCCAUGAGAUUUCUUACAUUUCCAACAAAUCGGUGACGUAUUUGGAAACAUCUUAGUGAGUCUUGCCAGCGGGAGGUGCCAUCUAUAAAACAUCUUGUACUGGUUUUCCUUGUAUGUCAUUGCCAUGGUCAAUUUCACAUUUAUUUCCCACAAUUUUUCCAUUUCUCCAGUUCUAUAUUGUAUCCCAAAAUUUUUGUCCAUCUUAUCAUUGUCUCUUUGACCACCUCAUCUUCCAUCUUGUAUCUCAAUAAAUAUUUGUAUAUUUUA